rnacentral:rRNA from 1 species
UACGUAGGUGACCAGCGUUGUCCGGAUUUACUGGGCGUAAAGAGCGCGCAGGCGGUCGUUCAAGUCGAGUGUGAAAGCCCCCGGCUCAACUGGGGAGGGUCAUUCGAUACUGAUCGACUCGAAGGCAGGAGAGGGAAGCGGAAUUCCCGGUGUAGUGGUGAAAUGCGUAGAUAUCGGGAGGAACACCAGUGGCGAAGGCGGCUUCCUGGCCUGUUCUUGACGCUGAGGCGCGAAAGCUAGGGGAGCUAACGGG